AUUGAACGCUGGCGGCAGGCCUAACACAUGCAAGUCGAGCGGUAGCACAGAGAAGCUUGCUUCUUGGGUGACGAGCGGCGGACGGGUGAGUAACGCGUGGGAAUCUACCUGGUAGUGGGGGACAACAGUCGGAAACGACUGCUAAUACCGCAUACGCCCUUCGGGGGAAAGUGGGGGAUCUUCGGACCUCACGCUAUCAGAUGAGCCCGCGUCGGAUUAGCUUGUUGGUGAGGUAAAGGCUCACCAAGGCGAUGAUCCGUAGCUGGUCUGAGAGGAUGACCAGCCACACUGGGACUGAGACACGGCCCAGACUCCUACGGGAGGCAGCAGUGGGGAAUAUUGGACAAUGGGGGCAACCCUGAUCCAGCCAUGCCGCGUGUGUGAAGAAGGCCUUCGGGUUGUAAAGCACUUUCAGCUGUGAGGAAAGGCGAGUGGUUAAUACCCGCUUGCUGUGACGUUAACAGCAGAAGAAGGACCGGCUAACUCCGUACCAGCAGCCGCGGUAAUACGGAGGGUCCGAGCGUUAAUCGGAAUUACUGGGCGUAAAGCGCGCGUAGGUGGUUCAGUCAGUCAGAUGUGAAAGCCCCGGGCUCAACCUGGGAACUGCACCUGAUACUGCUGAGCUAGAGUAC
rnacentral:rRNA from 1 species